GUGCUGCAUGGCUGUCGUCAGCUCGUGUCGUGAGAUGUCGGUUAAGUCCGCUAACGAGCGCAACCCUCGCUGUGUGUUAUAUGUGUCACACGGGACUGCCGGUCUUAAGCCGGAGGAAGGUGGGGAUGAUGUCAAGUCAGCAUGGCCUUUAUAUCCUGGGCUACACACACGCUACAAUGGUCGGUACAAUAGGUUGCCAAGCCGCGAGGCGGAGCCAAUCCACAAAGCCGGCCUCAGUUCAGAUUGUAGGCUGCAACUCGCCUGCAUGAAGAUGGAGUUGCUAGUAACCGCAGGUCAGCAAUACUGCGGUGAAUACGUUCCCGGGUCUU
rnacentral:rRNA from 1 species